CCUGAACGCUGGCGGCGUGGCUAAGACAUGCAAGUCGCACGGACGUAGCAAUACGUUAGUGGCGAACGGGUGAGUAAUGAAUCGCUAAUGUGCCCCGGACUUUGGGAUAGCUAUCCGAAAGGAUAGGUAAUACCAGAUGAUAUAACUUUGUCGCAUGACAGAGUCCUCAAAGGUCCGCCGGUCUGGGAGCAGGCGAUUUCGUAUCAGCUAGUUGGUGAGGAACGGCUCACCAAGGCGAUGACGCGUAGCCGGACUGAGAGGUUGGCCGGCCACAUUGGGACUGAGACACUGCCCAGACUCCUACGGGGGGCUGCAGUAACGAAUCUUCCGCAAUGGGCGAAAGCCUGACGGAGCGACGCCGCGUGUAGGAGAAGCCCUUCGGGGUGUAAACUACUGUCAGGGGUUAGAAAGUUCUGAUCAACCCC
rnacentral:rRNA from 1 species